GAGGUGGCUGGAGGGAGAGGAGGAGAAAGGAAGGAAUCAGAUGGAAAUGAUUUUCAGGUUCCCAUUGGCAAAAAACCAGUUCUUUUUAAAAGAACCACAAGCAAAUCCAUGGUAAAAAAAAACCCAGGUUAAGGGGGAUUUACACUGCCCCCCCAAAUCGGGUUAGAAAACCCUAGUGCAAGUGUGAACAACCCCGAUUUGGGUCAUGAAACACUGGCGCAAGUAUGAACGACUCUCAUUUAAAUCAGAUUGGAGCCCAGGUUAAAAUGCAGUGUGAAUGGACCCUUUGUUAGUUUUGGCCCAGCUCUCUAAUCUGUUCAAGUCAUUUUGAAUUCUGAUCCUGUCUGGAUUGUUUUAAAUCUUCCUAAAUAUUCACAUGUUUUUUUCCUCAUAGAUUUCUACGCUAGUUACCAGUUUGGGCCAGAAUCCGAUUGAAAGUUUUGGUUCUGGUAUUUUAGGCUCUGUGCUCUGAUCUCCCCUGUACCUGGCAGCUCAGCUAGCAUGGUGAUAUUUUGUUGGAUGGGAUCUGCAUCUACCUGUGUCAAUUUAAGCAUGCUGGAGUAGUUGUACUAGAAAGACACCGGAAAAGAAGCAGUAAGAAAAUAUUUCCAAUACGGUGACACAAGGGCACUCACAGUAUGAACGUUGGAACUAGCAGGAAUGAUUAACUUUCAGAUCCUGGGGGACAACUCAUCUGUUCAAACACCUCACCUUCUCCUCAACCAAGAAUGCAUACGAUGACAAUCAGCUCCCAGAAUCUCCCAAAUUCCAGUUCUUGCGGGUAUCACCCUAAUUCGUCUUGCCUUUAAAAGAAAGUAUCAUCAUGCAAAAAUUAAGUAAUGAUUACGGGAAAACACCAUACGAAUUGCUGGGAAAGAAACAGGAACAAGCCAGCAACACAAACAUUCUAAUAGAAAGCUGGAGGAUGUCCACAGAACUCCACCCAUCCAAGCAGAAAUAGGAAAAAAAAUAUCUGCUGGGUCACACUGGACAAGAAAUACAGCAUUUGCUAAAAAUAAAUGCCUUCAGUUUGAAAAGCCACACCACUUCAGUGUUUUGGAUUUGUUAAAAAGUUCUAAAAUGAAAACACUGACAACUGAUACCACUGUUCAAAAUACUUCUCCUACAUUCGGUUGGAAAUAUUUUUUUAACAAGUCCCUAUAAGGAUGGUCACAAUGAUACCAGUCUUGUUUCAAGAAUGGGAGCAGAAAGGCUGCAGCAGAGAGGCAGUGGUUUACCCAAGGCAUCUUCAAGACUUGACUUGAAUUAUUUUGAAAUGGUUUAGAGCAGAAGGGAAAUUAAAAUAGGAGUAAUGCACUACUUUUCUAAGAUGGUGGGACUGCAUGCUCCUGUGAGGCAAGAGGCUUUGCUGACAGUAGCAGUGCUGCUAGCAGGGACUCCUACAUCAGAUAGGAGUUUGCUGGGGAGCCAGGUUAAAAAUGCCAAACAGCUAUUGGUGCAGAUUGCUACUGCUAUUUUUUCUAUGUUAUUUCUUCCUCCAGAACCAAAUUUUCUGGAACUUCAAUUUGCAUCCCACUUGAUCUAACCUACGAAUUUUGGAACCGUGCCAUCAUUUGUGGAAUACAUUUGUGAAAAAUCAUAUAUGAAAUACUAUUAGUGAGAGACAUGAUUUUACCCACCCUGCCAAGUCCUUUAAGCAUUAAGAGCAAUGUAAGAGAGUCCUAAUAAUUCUUGCUCUUUCUUUUUCAUGCAUUCAAGCAGCUGUGUAUACUGUACAUAAAUGUAGUGUUGUCCCUUAGCUAUGAAGAUUAAAGUAGAGAAUUA